rnacentral:rRNA from 1 species
UACGUAGGGUGCGAGCGUUGUCCGGAAUUAUUGGGCGUAAAGGGCUCGUAGGCGGUUUGUCGCGUCGGGAGUGAAAUCCACUGGCUUAACUGGUGGCUUGCUUUCGAUACGGGCAGACUGGAGGUAUGCAGGGGGAGAACGGAAUUCCUGGUGUAGCGGUGAAAAUGCGCAGAUAUCAGGAGGAACACCAGCGGCGAAGGGCGGCACUCUGGGGCUGGGAAACUUGACGCUGAGGGAGCGAAAAGCGUGGGGGAGCGAACAGG